AAUUUAGCAGAGAUGCUUUAGUGCCUUCGGGAACUCUGAGACAGGUGCUGCAUGGCUGUCGUCAGCUCGUGUUGUGAAAUGUUGGGUUAAGUCCCGNAACGAGCGCAACCCUUAUCCUUUGUUGCCAGCACGUAAUGGUGGGAACUCAAAGGAGACUGCCGGUGAUAAACCGGAGGAAGGUGGGGAUGACGUCAAGUCAUCAUGGCCCUUACGAGUAGGGCUACACACGUGCUACAAUGGCGCAUACAAAGAGAAGCGACCUCGCGAGAGCAAGCGGACCUCAUAAAGUGCGUCGUAGUCCGGAUUGGAGUCUGCAACUCGACUCCAUGAAGUCGGAAUCGCUAGUAAUCGUAAAUCAGAAUGUUACGGUGAAUACGUUCCCGGGCCUCGUACACACCGCCCGUCACACCAUGGGAGUGGGUUGCAAAAGAAGUAGAUAGCUUAACCUUCGGGAGGGCGUUUACCACUUUGUGAUUCAUGACUGGGGUGAAGUCGUAACAAGGUAGGCGUAGUGCU
rnacentral:rRNA from 1 species